CUGCGCCACGAGUGGCAACCGCGAUUAUUGGGCCUAAAGCGUCCGUAGCCGGUCUUGUAAAUUCUUUGUGAAAUCGUCAUGCUUAACGUGACGGUAUGCAGAGAAAACUGCAAGACUUGGAACCGGGAGGAGUCAGAAGUAUUUCUUGGGGAGCGGUAAAAUGCCAUAAUCCUUGAAGGACUACCUGUGGCGAAGGCGUCUGACUAGAACGGUUUUGACGGUGAGGGACGAAAGCUAGGGGAGCGAUCCGGAUUAGAUACCCGAGUAGUCC
rnacentral:rRNA from 1 species